rnacentral:rRNA from 1 species
AGAGUUUGAUCAUGGCUCAGGAUGAAUGCUGGCGGCAUGCCUAAUACAUGCAAGUCGAGCGGUAACAUGAAUAGCUUGCUAUUGAUGACGAGCGGCGGACGGCUGAGUAACGCGUGGGAACGGACCCAAACUGAGGGAUAACGCACCGAAAGGUGUGCUAAUACCGCAUGUGAUCUUCGGAUUAAAGGAUUUAUCCGGUUUGGGACUGGCCUGCGUACGAUUAGAUAGUUGGUGAGGUAAUGGCUCACCAAGUCGACGAUCGUUAGAUGGUUUGAGAGGAUGAUCAUCCAGACUGGGACUGAGACACGGCCCAGACUCCUACGGGAGGCAGCAGUAGGGAAUCUUUCACAAUGGGCGAAAGCCUGAUGGAGCAAUGCCGCGUGCAGGACGAAGGCCUUCGGGUUGUAAACUGCUUUUAUAAGCGAGGAAUAUGACGGUAACUUAUGAAUAAGGAUCGGCUAACUACGUGCCAGCCGCCGC